rnacentral:rRNA from 1 species
AUUGAACGCUGGCGGCAUGGCUAAAACAUGCAAGUCGAACGGACCUCGCAAGAGGUUAGUGGCGGAAGGGUCAGUAAUACGAUCGAAUGUACCCCGAGGUGGGGGAUAGGCACGGGGAAACUGUGCGUAAUACCCCAUAAGCACCUAGGUGGAAAGAUUUAUCGCCUUGGGAGCAGCGAUCGUCCUAUCAGGUAGUUGGCGGGGUAAAAGCCCACCAAGCCGAAGACGGGUAGCGGGUGUGAGAGCACGGCCCGCGACAUCGGGACUGAGACACUGCCCGGACUCCUACGGGAGGCUGCAGUAACGAAUAUUCCGCAAUGGACGAAAGUCUGACGGAGCAAUGCCGCGUGCAGGAUGAAGCGGUUUCGCCGUGUAAACUGCUGUCAGGGCAGGAAAUACUGAUCCGCCCCAGAGGAAGAGACGGCUAACCCUGUGCCA